ACCUGGGACAGGUGAGACAUGGACAGGUGAGACACACCUGGGACAGGUGAGACAUGGGACAGGUGAGACAGGUGAGGGACACAUGGGACAGGUGAGACAGGUGAGACACACCUGGGACAGGUGAGACACACCUGGGACAGGUGAGACAGGUGAGACAGGUGAGAGAUGGACAGGUGAGACACACCUGGGACAGGUGAGACAGGUGAGAUUGG
rnacentral:lncRNA from 1 species